ensembl:lncRNA
AGAGCGCGUGAGGGAAACUGCUACUGCACGACGCGAGUGAUGAACACCUGUGCGCAUCCCUGCGCCACCGGCACGCAGGUAUAAAGCAUAAAGCCAGUGUCGCUCGCGAGGAAAGAUGACAUGAUGGUUAUUGGCAUUUUUAAAGCGCUCGCCCUGCGAAUGCACCUUAAAACAAGGCACCCGGAGGGGCUCGCGCUGAUUCGACCCCAGUAAAGGGGUUCAAGAGCGGCUGAGGACAACUGUGAAUUAAUAAAAUGUUUCAAAACUGACCUAAACGCUCACUUUAGACAUCCCAAAUGCAGUCUUUGAGUACGGGAUAUGACUUACAGCCUGCGUUUAGACGGGAAUAUUGGCCAUUACCUGAACGAGAAACUCUAUUCUAAAACUCGUGAAGUACAAACGAUGUGUCGCGAUGCGCCUCAGGUAGAGCGCGCGCACAUUAACUGCUUUAAAUUGCAUGAAGCGCUUUAGCCAAGCCCAGUGUGUUAGAUUUAAAUGGUCCAGUUUUGACACAUUUGCUUUGCUCAACCGAGUAUCGGCGCUAAGGUAACCACUCUUGGCUCAGAGCCUGCUGUUUAGAACACGAAACAAAUUGACUUCUCCUCCCCCAAGUCUUUGCCUUUUGUAAUUUGCUCUGGCGUUGUUGUUUGUGUGUGACCAGCCCUGGGAUUUCACCUCGUCCUUGAGAGACCAGCGCAAAUCAACCCAAAUAAAACAUCCCGACCCUGUUCACCUCUCCCGGAGGGUCGUUUUCCUUCGCGACACGUGGACGAAGCCGUACACAGCAUUAGGGACCGAAGAGACGCAGCCUCUAUAGAGGGACUCAGACAGGGUGGGAGGAGAUCCCAGCAGGUAAAAGGACCCACCGCAGGUCACGACCACAAACAGCAUAUCAGCUGGCUAUUUCUGAACAGGCCAUUGUGCCUGAUUUCUGUCCACACAGACACACACACAAACACACACACACACGUGUCCUUUACACCUGGUUGUACUGUAGGUCCUGCUUAACGCUGUUGUAGUGCCAAUGGGAAUUUACAGUACAUACAAAAUACAAAAAAAAAAUCAGGAAGGUUUAUGUGAGGGUUAUAUUUAGGGUUAGAGGAUUGUUUUUAUUUGCCAUUAUUUUUAUGACCUGACCCUGAAUAAAGGUCACGUCAGCACACA